GGAAAUAAGGUGGCCAAGAAACAAAACUACUUGUGUAUAAGUUGUUACUGUUGUCGAUCAUCACAUAACAAAGUAAGGAUUUCAGCGGAGGUUAGGUUACACGAACGUAUGGCAAAUGAUUACAUUUCCUUGAACAUAUAAAAAAUUCGCCUGAACUGAGGUUGAGCUUUUCUUUAUCGUGGUGGAUUAAAAACUUAAUAAAAGUCUAUCAUUAAAGGCCUUUCAAGGAUUGAUUUUGGAAAUCAAGUUUGUUAGUUGUUUGGAUUGUAUGUUGCUCCAAUAGGUUAGAAACAUCAAGAGGAGUUGGAAAUUCACAUUUGAAGUGAGUUGGAGAAGAUUUAGCUAAAUUUCAGAAGAACCAAUCUGGGUCCAGUACAGCUUCAUUCACAAUGUCGGCUGAAGUUGGACUGCUGUACAAAAUGGGUUAAGUCGGGUAAGAAUCUGAACUAGGGGUUAAAUUUGGUAAUGUUUCUUAAGAACAGAAAUAGUUAGUGAUGUCCGACCAGACUAAAGUAUUAUCACUUCUUGGAAUCACUAUAUAUAGACGAAGGAAAAAGAAAGCACCGAGAUAUGACCAUUUUGUUUACUGCAAUGCACAUGUACACUUGUGCUUUAUAUUGUUCUAAAUAUCACUUAUUUUUCAAUAAGUUAAUUCUUGAAAUGAAUCAGUUGCUUAUGCCUUUGAAAUAACUUGUGGCUCAAUGUUAAUGUCCAAGAUCCUUGUUUUCAAUGUUAAUUCAAAGCUAGCAUGGCUGCCAUAAUUUUCAAGAGCACUUAACCCCCACAUACAUUUUCUGUAUCAUGAUAAUCUCAACAAUAAACUCCGGACUAAUCCGGACUCUUGAAAUAUAUGGUCAUUCGAAGAUUUGCUCUGUGAGAUGCACAUACCCUUUAACUUAUAUACAAGACAGACUAAUGAACACACCAUUUUACACUAUAAAGUGUCAUUUGGAUUUGCAGUAUCAUAGAGGCGGGGAAUGGGGAUGGACCUACAUUCAAGGGAGCAGGUUCAGUUGAAUCCGCUAUACUGUAUUUUUUCUAGUGUAUGUGUACUUGUUGUUUCAAUUUAUAAGAUUUUUGAAAUUUGUGGUCUAAAGCCAAUCUUAGAUACUUGUGUGAUUAUAAACCAUCUUACUAAAGAUAAAAAUUGAAUUUUAAAGUUUAAUUAUCUCUAAAUAUAUAAAGCGACAUUCCUAUUUGAAUAGACUAAAUAGAAAAGAAUACCACAAAUAUUGAAACAAAAGGCAUACUUUAAUAGUAUUGACAUAAUAUGAACCCAAAAUCAAACACGAUAUUAGGACAAAAAACAAUUUUAGAUUAGCAAGAAUAGUGGCAUACCUAUUUCAGCCAUAUCAUGCAUUAUUGACAAAGGACUAGGUCUUUCUUUUUAUUACCCUUUCUCCAAUUCCGACUAGCGGUGUCAAAGACAACUACCACACCCAACCGACUGUAUUUAUACAAGGGAAUAGCUGCAAUUGAUGAAACCCUAAUAAGCCUUCCCAUUAUGGGCCUUAUCGGAUUGAGCCUACAUUCACCACCUAGACUACCCAGUACAUAAAAUGCACAACUUAAUAACUAAUUACCACCCUUAUAAGUGUGUUCAAGUUUAUGGACAAGUUUAUGGACUAUCACCAAACAAGGGCAUUUGACUAUAAAUAAAAUAUUUAUUGUGUAAGCCCAUUUUUCUUACAAGUACUCCACAAAUUAUAUUCGAAAAGCGAAUGUUAUAUUAUACUAUUGGAUCUGCUCGACACAAACGAAUGCUGUGCGGGUCGAGUGGAUUCAUAAUUUCCUUCAGGUCAGGCGAGCGUUAUCUGUUCGCACAGUUUUCAUUUCUUUUCUCAAAGCUAUCCUAAGACGUGUACUCUCUAAUACUUUCUCAAAGUCCCCUUAGGGAUUUCUCACCCUACCAAGGUUCUCUUUACUCUUCCGACUAUACAUUGUACCAGAGGGUGCGUGCCAUUGCAUAACACUUAGUAGAGCAGAACACUUCUAAAGCUGGUUUUAAAGCAAACUCAUCAGUACCAUUGUGGCCUUUUUUGCAUGCAAUGUCACAAGAAGCGGAGUCAGAAUUUUUACUUAUGGGGUCAAAAUAUAAAGAAGUAAAUGCACGAAGAAGUCAUAUAAUAUCUAUACAUAAAAAAUAAUUUUUUAUUUAGUUAUACAAUAUUAUUUUUUCGCGAAGCGAGUAUUAGGCGUAGGUGGCAGACGUACUUCCAUAAACUCUUGAACGAGGAGGGGGACAAGAACAUCGUGCUCGAUGAGUUGGAGAACUUAGAGAGAGACAGAGUGAUUUUGGAUUUUGUAGGCGUAUCAAGGUUGUGGACGCAAUGCGGAAAGUGAGCAUGGGUAAGGCGACUAGGACGGACGUGAUCUUAGUAGAAUUUUGGAAGAGCGUGGGUCGAGCAGGCGUGGAGUGGCUUACUGGUUUGUUUAAUGUCAUUUUCAAGACGAAGAAGAUGACUGAAGAUUGGAUGUGGAGUUUGAUGAUUACGUCGUACAAAAAUAAAGGUGAUAUCCAGAACUGCAAUAACUAUAGGGGUAUCAAGCUGCCGAGUCAUACUAUGGAAGUUUAGGAGAGAGUGGUGGAGAAAAGGGUGAAGAGAAAUGUGUCUAUUUCCAAGAAUCAGUUCGGAUUUAUGUUGGGGCGGUCUACUAUCGAAUCCCUUCACCUUGUGCGCUUCACAGGCACCCGGCUUGAAUGUGUUAAGCACGGGGUAGAAUGCGUUAAGCAUAAAAUACCCGAUUCGACGUUUCCAGAAAGAAGGGCUCCCAGAGGGUAAGUUCCAAUGGGGUUCCAAGAUCUCCUUACCAGCUAUAAACCAGAGAUUUUUACUCCCUUUCACAGUUCUGAUUAAAGGGCUUGGGACCGUGGUAAUGCAGUCUUCGAUAAGAGCUGUAUUCUCUUGCCCCAGGGGAACCCCUAAGAUUAUGUGCGAGGAAUUGCCCUAUUGAGUAAUGGGAAGCGGGCUAGUCCCCGAAAAUGCCCCGCCCGUAAGUUCCUUUGUCGUUGGGGAAAAAAAGAUCUCUUUUUUUUUUAGAUUCGAAAUUCUUCGUUUUUUUCUCCCAAUUUCCCACUCUUUCUGUGAGGCAAAACCUCACCACACUACACUACACUUCGACACAAGAGAAGAGGACCGGGCGCUUUGUAUCUUCGGGAUAGGAGUUGGCGGUCUUCUUUAAGAGAACUUCAAUCUAAUACUCAUUAUGGAUCAACUCAUGUUUCCUCGAGGUCCUUUGAUGGGCAUAAAGAAAUCUUCUUGGUAGCAACCACCAAACCAAUAGAACAAGGGUUAGGCGGAGAUUGGUAGAGCAGUAUCGGGAGAAGAAAAAUGUCUUGCAUAUGGUGUUCAUUGAUCUAGAGAAAGCCUACGACAAAGUCCCGAGAGAGGUUCUACGGAGAUGUUUGGAGGUUAGCGGUGCUCCGAUAGCGUACUUUAGGGUGAUUAAGGAUAUGUACGAGGGAGCUAAGACUCGGAUGAGGACCGUGGGUGGUGACUCGGAGCAUUUCCCAGUGGAGAUGGGGUUACAUCAGGGAUCGACUCUUAGCCCAUUUUUGUUUGCCUUGGCGUUGGAUGUGCUGAAGCGGCUCAUAUAAGGGGAGGUGCCACGGUGUAUGCUUUUUGUUGAUGACAUAAUACUGAUUGACGAGACGCGAGGCGGGGUUAACGCUAGGUUAGAGGUUUGGAGACAAACGCUGGAGUCUAAAGGUUUCAAGUUGAGCAGGUCGAAAAUAGAGUACUUGGAGUGCAAGUUUAGUGAUGGGAUGCUAGAAGCAGAGGUGGAAGUGAAUAUUGAUACACAAGUCAUCCCUAGAAAGGAUAGUUUCAAAUAUCUUGGGUCUGUAACUUAAGGCAACAUGGAGUUUGACUUGAUGGUACACAUCAGAUUGGUGCAACGUGGAUGAAAUUGAGGCUCGCUUCUGGGGUUCUGUGAUAAUAAUAUGCCAAAAAGACUUAAAGGCAAGUUCUACAGAGUGGUGGUUAAACCGACUAUGUUGUCUGGAGCGUAGUGUUGGCCCGUCAAGAAGUCCCAUGUCUAAAAGAUGAAGGUAGAUGGGAUGAGGAUGUUGAGAUAAAUAUGUGGGCAUACCAGGAAAGACAAGAUUAAGAAUAAAGUUAUUAGGGAAAAGAUGAGUGUUGCUUCGGCGGUGUGAUUACCCAAAAUGUCAUCUUUAAAUUUAAUAAUUAAUUAUGUGUUCUAAGACCUCGAAAAAUACUAUUUAUCAUUACUUGACUUGCUUGCGCAGUCCGUAAAAUUUUCCGAAAAGUUUUUAUACGAAAAAUGAAUUAAAAUGUGAAUUAGAGCUUUAAAACUCAACUAAGUUGACCUUGGUCAACAUUUUUAGCAAACGGACUCGGAUAAGUUUUUUGACAGUUUCGGUAGGUCCGUAUCGUGAUUUGAAAUUUGGGCGUAUGCCCGAAAUCAAAUUCCGAGGUCCCUAGUCCGAGAUAUGGAAUUUUAAAAAAAAAUUAAAAGUUUAAAUUCAAAUAGUGACCGGAUGUCGAAUUAUGUGCAAACGACCCCAGAAUAGAGUUUUGAUGAUCUAACAGCUCCAUAUGGUGAUUUUGGACUUAAGAACAUGAUCGAAAUUUUAUUUGAAAGUCCGUAGUGAAAUUAGGCUUGAAAUGACUAAAAUAGGAAUUUAAAGUUUGAAAGUUUGACCUGAGAGUUGACUUUUUGAUAUCGGGGUCGGAAUCUAGUUCCGAAAAUUUUUACAGCUCCGUUAUGUCAUUUAUGACUUGGGUGCAAAAUUUGAGGUCAAUCGGACUUGAUUUGAUAGGUUUUGACAUCGAAUGUAGAAGUUGAAAAUUCUAAGUUUCAUUAAGCUUGAAUUGGAGCAUUAUUCGUGAUUUUAGCGGUGUUUGAUGUGAUUUGAGGUUUCAAAUAAGUUCGUAUGAUAUUUUAGAACUUGUUGGUGUAUUAGGUUGAGGUCCCGAGGGCCUCAGGUGAGUUUCGAAUGGUUAACGGAUCAAAAGUGGGACUUAGCUGCUGCAAAAGUUGCUGCUAUUUUUCUGCUGGAAAUGUUGUCAAAAUCGGGCUGCCUGUCAAAAUCGGACUCCCUGUCAAAAUCAGACUCCCUGUCAAAAUCGAGCUCCCUCAAAUCGAGCUCCCUGACAAAUCGAGCUCCCUGACAAAAUCGAGCUCCCUGACAAAAUCGAGCUCCCUGACAAAAUCGAGCUCCGUGGCAAUCUGUAAGUUAUAAAAGCAGGGGACUUCGUCCCAUUUGCCUUUUUGACGAAUUGGGGCAUGAGGAGAGGCGAUUUUGAUAUAUUUUCAAGGAAAAACAUUGGAGGUAAGUGAUUCUAACUCGGAUUUGGUCAAUAUAUACGAAUAUAUCGUUGUUUUCACUAUUUAAUUAGUGUUUUGAAAUAGAAAUUUGAGAAACUUNNNNNNNNNNNNNNNNNNNNNNNNNNNNNNNNNNNNNNNNNNNNNNNNNNNNNNNNNNNNNNNNNNNNNNNNNNNNNNNNNNNNNNNNNNNNNNNNNNNNNNNNNNNNNNNNNNNNNNNNNNNNNNNNNNNNNNNNNNNNNNNNNNNNNNNNNNNNNNNNNNNNNNNNNNNNNNNNNNNNNNNNNNNNNNNNNNNNNNNNNNNNNNNNNNNNNNNNNNNNNNNNNNNNNNNNNNNNNNNNNNNNNNNNNNNNNNNNNNNNNNNNNNNNNNNNNNNNNNNNNNNNNNNNNNNNNNNNNNNNNNNNNNNNNNNNNNNNNNNNNNNNNNNNNNNNNNNNNNNNNNNNNNNNNNNNNNNNNNNNNNNNNNNNNNNNNNNNNNNNNNNNNNNNNNNNNNNNNNNNNNNNNNNNNNNNNNNNNNNNNNNNNNNNNNNNNNNNNNNNNNNNNNNNNNNNNNNNNNNNNNNNNNNNNNNNNNNNNNNNNNNNNNNNNNNNNNNNNNNNNNNNNNNNNNNNNNNNNNNNNNNNNNNNNNNNNNNNNNNNNNNNNNNNNNNNNNNNNNNNNNNNNNNNNNNNNNNNNNNNNNNNNNNNNNNNNNNNNNNNNNNNNNNNNNNNNNNNNNNNNNNNNNNNNNNNNNNNNNNNNNNNNNNNNNNNNNNNNNNNNNNNNNNNNNNNNNNNNNNNNNNNNNNNNNNNNNNNNNNNNNNNNNNNNNNNNNNNNNNNNNNNNNNNNNNNNNNNNNNNNNNNNNNNNNNNNNNNNNNNNNNNNNNNNNNNNNNNNNNNNNNNNAUUAUUAUAUUUCAAUAGGGCCUCACCUGACCUCGUCACUACUCUACCGAUGUUAGGCUUGGCACUUACUGGGUACCACUGUGGUGUACUCAUACUACGCUUAUGCAUAUCUUUUUGUGCAGAUCCAUGUAAAUCUUACCAGUCUAGACGUUAGUGAGUUACCUGCGCACAGAGACUUCGAGGUAUAUCUGUCAGCGUCCGCAGACUCCGGAGUCCCCUUCUAUCAUUUUUAUGUUGCUUCCUUAUUUUUCUUCUUGAUAUAUAGAGACAUUGAGAAUAAAUUCUUAGAAACUUGUGACUUAUUACUACCGAAUUUUGAGAGUUGAAAUUGUUUGAAUUGUAGUUUAAUUAUUUCAGAUAUUUAUUAUUAUUCCGCAUUGAUAGGCUUACCUAGUCUUAGAGACUAGGUGCCAUCACGACAUCCUACAGAGGGAAUUUGGGGUCGUGACAGGUGGAGGACAAAUUGCGAGAUUCGAGGUUGAGAUAGUUCAGACACGUGCAGAGGAGAGACAUAGAUGUCCCGGUCAUGAUGUGUGAGAGGUUGAUCAUGGUGGGUCAAAGGAAGGGUAGGGGUAGGCCUAAGAAAUAUUGGGGUGAUGUGAUUAGGCAGAACAUGCUAUUGCUCUAGCUUACCGAGGACAUGACCCUCGAUAGAAAAAAAUUAAAGAUGGGAAUUAAGGUGGAAGGAUGACAAGUAGUCGCUAGUGUCACUUAGUCUUACUAGUAGUGCUAGUACUAUUUUUGUAUUUCUCUUAUUCCUGGUUCUUUACUAUACCAUGUUGUGCUAUUUGCUUUUAUUAUAUUAUUGUUGUUCCUGUCUGUUACUUUAUUUUCAUUGUUGUUUGAACCAAGGGUCUACAAAAAUUUUCUGCCUUAACAAGGUAAGGGUAGGUCUGCGAAUACAUUACCCUCCCCAUAUCUCAUUUGUGAAAUUACACUGGGCUUUUAUUAUUGUUGUCGUUGAAGGGGGUGUCAUUGACACCCCUUAAAAGCAUAUGGCUCCGCCACUGCUUAUGCGCCCGCUGCCAACUGAUAGGUUGUCUCUGUGAAAUGUUCUGGAUUCUCUCACUUGAGUCUCUAGUCAAAUUCAAAUAAGAUUAAGUUCUAAUAGGCCCAAAUUGAGCAUUCUGCUAUUCAUAAUUUAAAGAAAUAAGCACUUGACAAAUUAUUAGGAACUAAGUAGGAGGUAAAUAAUAGAAAGUAAAUGAAGGAAAAUAAACAAGAUGCAUGAGAUAACUAAUCCACAACAACCACUUCGUACUAUUAUGACCUGGUAUUACCAUUUCAAAUUAUUAAACAGCUAUAGUUUGAAGAAGGGAAUAACUAACUAAAAUUAAUACUCUAACAACUUCUACAUUUCGACUGCUUCAUAUAAUAUCUAAUAUUUGGAGACAACAUGCAACUACCUCAACUUAUAGAGACACUCUAACACAGCUCUCCCCUCCCUCUCUGUUACGAUAACUGGAAUCUAAGAGAGAAUCGAGCUACAACUAAGAAGAAAAUAAGAAGAAGCUAGGGUUAGCUAAGAUAGAUUCAUUUCUUGUCCAAUUAAGAUAAUUACAAAGGGUCUUAUACACCCCACUGCCGGACAAAACAUCCUAACAUCCUACCAACUUCAAAGUUACUGGUACUGCUCUUUACACUCUUAUUGUAUAAUAUUCAUAUCAGUUCCCCUCCCCCGCCCUAAAAACUUCCUUGUCCUCAAGAAAGGAAGUUAGGGAAACGAAUUCAUAAGGUCUGGUAGUCCACCCAAGUAGCAUAAUCAGGUGGAAUUUUAUCCCAUUGCACCAAUACUUGUGUGACUGUCUUAUUUCCCUUCCGUACCAUACGCCUUUCCAGAAUCUUCUGAGGUUAUGGGCAAUAUGGACUUGAAAGUUCCACAACAGGUGGAUGGUUAAUUGCUUUAGGUAAACUGUGGUAUAGCUUCAGUUGAGAAACAUGGAAAGUGGGAUGAAGCAAUAGUUGAGAGGGCAGAGAUAAUUUGUAUGCAACAACUCCCCACUUUCUGGAGAAUUUGGUAGGGACCAUAAUACCCAUCAGAAAGCUUAGAAAAAUGGUGGCCAGACAUAGAAACCUGCCUAUAAGGUUGUAUCUUCAUAUAAACUCGGUCCUCUUCCUGGUACUGCAUAUCAGAUCUGUUCUUGUUAGUCUGAUCAAUGAUUUUUUGUUGUGCUCUCUACAAAUGGAAUUUCAACAAUUGAAGUUUGUAUUCCCUAGUGAGUAAACUCCUGUCCACCUCAUCCAAAGCAGAAUCACCAGCAUCAUAUGGCAACUGUAGAUGGGGAGGUUGCCCAUAAAAGGCUUCAUAAAGUGUAGUUUGGAUGGAGGUAUGAAAUGUGGUAUUGUACCACCACUCAGUUGUAGCUAGGUAUAAAUACCAAUCAUUCUGAGAAUCUGAGCAGAAAUAUCUGAGAUAAGUCUCUAGGCAUCUAUUGAGUGAGGAUGGUAGGUGGUGGAGGUAUUGAGAGUGACCCCCAUCAUUGAGAAGAGCUCUUGCCAUACCUUGCUAGUAAAUAUGGGGUCUCAGUCACUCGCUAUAUCCUUAGGCAUCCCAUGUAACUUAUGAAUGUGCUCCAUGAACAAUUUAGCCACACCACUUGCUGAGUAGGGAUGAGACAAUCGUAUGAAGUGUGCAUAUUUAGUUAGUCUGUCGACCACUACCUAUAUCACUAUCUUGUUCUUAGAUUUUGGUAGGCCUUUUAUAAAAUCCAUACUGAUACUGCUUCAGGCUGAUUCUGGUAAUUUGAGAGGCUGUAACAACCCUGGAUAAGGUGCAGUGUCAUACUUGUGCCUCUAGAACACAUCACAAGCCUUGACAUAAGUUUGGACAUCCUCCCUCAAUCCCUUCCAAUGAAACAAAGCAGCCAACUUCCUGUAAGUAUGAUCAAUGCCUGAGUGACCACCUGUUGUAGUGUCAUGCCAGAGGUUUAUAAUAUUCCUCCUGAGUUCUCGAUCAGCCCUUACUACAAAUUUGCCAUUUUUUCUUAAUUGAUCGUGUAUCCAGGUAUACCCCUUGGCCUCUCUGUCUCCUUCCUUCAAUCUUUUUAUUAGUUCUGCCAACUAAUAAAGAGCAAGGCGGGGAGUUCUUGGAGGAAGGGUGCCGAUGGUCUAUCGAAAACAGCCUCUCUACCCCAUGGAAGUUGUAAGGUCUGUGUACACACUACCCUCCCCAGACUCCACUAGUGGGAUUAUACUGGGUUGUUGUUGUUGUUGUUGUUAGUUCUGCCAACUCUGAAUCCUGAUUCCAACUUUGAACAAUUAAGUUUAAGAGCUCAGUUUUCAUAGUUGAUAAGGUCACGAUAGACAAUUCUAUCAUAUGCAUUCUAGACAAGGCAUCUGCAACCUUAUUCCCCCUUCCCUUCUUAUACUCAAUGGUAAAGUCAUACUGUAUCAAUUUAGUGAUCCAUUUCAGCUGAGUUCCAAUGUGUAGUUUCUGCUCUGACAAGAAUUUGAGAACCUUCUCAUCUGUUUUACCACAAAGUUUCUUCCUGUCAGGUAUUAUGACCACCUGUUCACAUCCAUUACUAAACCUAGUAGUUCUUUGCUGUACACUGACAAUGACUGUUGUUGACUAGAGAGUCCCUUACGGAGAAAGGCAAUGGGUUGACCCUUCUGCAUCAACAUUGCCCCAAUCCCCAUAUUACAAGCAUCUAUCUCUACUAUAAAAAGUAAGGAGAAAUCAGGAAGUGCCAACACAUGAGCUGAAGUGGGUACCUCCUUGAGUUUGCUAAACGCUUUAGCUGCUUUUUCUGUCCAAUUGAAGCUGUCCUUCUUGAGCAAUUCAGUGAGUGGCUUGCUAAUCAUUCUAUAGUUCCUUAUAAACCAUUUAUAAUACCCACCUGGCCCCAAAACACUUCUCAAUUGCUUGAAGGAUGCAGGUUGAGGCCAGUUUUGCACAACAACUACUUUUUCUGGGAUCUGUAGCUACCCCAUCUGCUGAGAUACAGUGACCCAAGUACUCUACCUUGGUGGCAACAAACACACAUUUACUCUUUUUUGCCAACAACUAAUUUUCGGCCAGCAACUCAAAGGUGAUUCUGAGAUGAUGCAAAUGGUCAUCUAAGCUCUUGAUAUAUACUAAUAUAUCAUAAAAAAACACUAAGAUGAACCUUAUGAGAUGUUCUUGAAAGACAAGGUUCAUCAGACUUUAGAAACUAGAGGGUGCAUUGGUUAACCCAAAGAGCAUGACCAAGUAUUCAUAGUGUCCUGAAUGUGUUUUGAAAGCAGUUUUUUGAAUGUCAGAAGAUGCUAUUCUGAUCUGAUAAUAUCCUGCUCUCAAGUCUAUCUUUGAGUAGAUUUGAGAACCACCCAACUCAUCCAAUAACUCCUCAAUGACAGGAAUAAGAAACUUGUCUUCACUGUCACCUUGUUCAAAGCUCUGUAGUCCACACAUAGCCUCCAUGACCCAUCCUUCUUCCCCACCAGAACCACUGGGGAAGCAUAGGGCUUGAACUGUACUGAAUAAUUUGUUGGUUUAUCAUCUCUUGGACCAUAUUUUUAAUGACAUCUUUUUGAACAUGUGAGUAUCUGUAGGGUUUAGAAUUGACAUGAGAGUUGCCUUCCAUUGUAGGGAUAUGAUCAACAAACACACCCUUUGAAGGGGGUAGUGUUUUUGGCUCACCAAAGAUUCCCUUAAAUUCUUCCAGUAAUCUUUUAACUAGCGUAGGUUCAUCUUUUUGUUGUUCCAUUAGUUCUAAGGAUUCCGAUUCUGCACUCUUUACCUGAACCAUAAAGAAUUGUGAAGUUCCUACUGACAGUUUAUUCAGUGUCCUGGCCUCAACGGUUUUAAAUUUUGGUUUAAUACUCUGUAAGGUGAGUAAUUCCCUUGAUACUCAAACUCCAUCUGCAACCUCCUAAAAUUAAAUUUAAUAUCCUCUAAGGGAUUUCUUACGUAGCUGGAGAAUAGAUGGUCUCAAUAGGAAGACACACAAGCUUUGAAAAGUGCAACACUAUUCCCAUGGUUAUUUGGUGGACAAUUUAGACUGAAAGAAACAAUAGAAUUUUUGAAGGCAAAGUUAACAACAUACAUAGUCUUAAACACAAAUGUAUUUCUUUGCUAGCUUUUUGGUGCAACAUGGCCUUUGUAAACUGUGUGAUUCCAUGUUAGAUAUGAUCCAGGCAUUGCAAACUUUGUAACUUUUAACACACUGUCUUAGUGCAGUUAUACCAUUUAUAAAAUAUCAUUACUUAUAAAAAAAAUAUGGGUAGAUCACAAGGAUUAUCCAAAGUAACCCAAGAUGCUUGGUGUCUAACGACGUGGCAGGUAAUCCUCUUCUCAUUCUGCACCAAGAAACUAGAGAGUUUGCAACGCCCUUAGUAUAUGGUCUAGAACUGCAUUUGGUGAUACUCGUGAAGAGCCAAAGAGUAUGGGAGUUCUAAUUAGGAGUUUGGAAGAGGCUGUUGUGUCUGAUAAUAGUCGAGAGAAUUGAAUGAAUUUACCAGGGGCAAGAGCGGAGUUUACCAGAUUCUAAAACUACAAGAUAGUGUAGAAACAAAAGGCAAGAGUGAAAUGGCUUAAGGGGGAAGAUACCAACACUGUUUUCUUUCAUGGGGUUAAUAAAGAUAGGACUAAGAAGCUGAACAUACAGAAAAUCAGAGAUGGAGAUGGACAGUGGGUGGAUGGUACUAAAGAUGUGGCAAAAGCAACUGUGAAGUUCUUUGAACAACUCUUCAGUGCUGAAGACAUCUCUGGAGAUUGUGAGGUGUUAAAUGUUGUGAAGAAAGUUGUCACAGAGGAGGACAAUGCAGUCCUUACAGCUUCUACACUGCAGGAAGUAAAGGAAAGUGUGUUCUCAAUAUAUCCAAACAGUACACCUGGUCCAGAUGGUCUCAAUGAAAGGUUCUACCAAACAGCCUGGCCUAUUAUUGCUAAAGAUAUUUAUGAAGCAGGUAUGGCCUUCUUCCUUGGAGCUACACUCCCUAAGUUCUUUACUCAUACAUGCCUUGACAUGUUACCCAAAUUGAAUCUCCUAAACGCUAUACAGAUAUUAGUACCUAUCAGCCUAUGCAAUGUAUCUAGCAGGAUCAUUGCUAGGUGUUAAAUGCCAGAUUCAAUAUCACACGGCCCAAAAUAAUUACUCAAAAUCAGAGUGAUUUUGUCAAGGGGAGAGUUAUUACGGACAAUAUACCACUAGCCCAGGAGAUUGUAGAUGAUAUUGCAAACCUAUGAAGGGUGGCAAUGUGGUGAUCAAUUAGAUAUGGCCAAAACAUACAGUAAAGUGUCUUGGUUUAGAAUUCUAGAUCAACCUCAUUUACAAAUUCAUCUCAAACAAUUGAUACUCCUAGGUAGCAAACAUGGUUUCUUCAACUCACCGAGGGAUCUAGGGUGACCACCCUCUAACACCCUCUCUUUGUGUCCUCACUGCAGAGUUACUAUUGCAUGCUUAAUGCAUUGCACAACAGCAGGAAAUAUAGCUUUAUGAGCAGCUAUGGGUUUAUGGCCCUUAAAUUAAUCAUUUAACCUCUGUUAAUGAUACUAUAAUUAUUAGCAGUGGAGGUGACAUCUCAGUACAACUCGUUCUCAAUACUAUGGUGAGUCGCGAGUUAUGAGAAUGUUUUAUGGGCAUCUGAUAAAGAGAACUAAGAGUCGCUACACUAUGGCACCUAAUACAUCCCAAAGAGUCAUCUGAAGAGUGGGAAGAAUCUUAGGAAUGAGAUUUGAUAAACUCCCCAUGAAACAUCAUGCAUGUCCUUGAACUUAAAUAAGGAAGAAGCUUUCUAUCUUCUCUGAAAUGGUGAGUACAAUAAUUAACAGAGUAAAGGAAUAUAAGACACGUUCUACUUGCUCUGAACAUCCACACUCCACACUCUGCCAGUUGUUCAUCCUUUUAAAGGAACUAUUAACUAUUGACAUUGUUGAAAAAUAUAUUGCAAGAUUCUUCUGGUCAGGCAUGGAGAAUGGUGGGAAGCAUCACCGGGCCUUCUGGACCAAUCUAUGUUUCCCUUAUGAAGGAUAGUCAAACUUUAGGAUGUUGGAAAAUACUUUAGAAUAAGUUUCACUGCAAAAAAAUGGUGGAAUCUCUGAACCACUAACACAUUGUGAGUCUAUAUACAGGCUACACACUGCAGAAAUUCUCACCCAGUCACCUAACAAUGGAGAGCUGGACAAUCACAUAGUUGGAACGCCUAUCCACAGGUAAAUCAUCUGAUAUCCAUAUCCACAAAAAUUGAACAACCAAAGCCAAAGAAACAACGUAAACAAAUAGCACUAAGAUUCAUUCAAAAUCUGUAUACCUCAAACCAGCAAUUUUCUCCGGCAAAGGCAGAAAAUAUUCUCCCCAUCUGGUCCUUUAUAUGCAUGGAUUUGAAAAGUUUCUUUAGGUGAACGCAGAGUGAGAUUUUUAACUUUAACAGUCAUAAAAAAUUCGCGGCAUUCGGCCAAAAUAAAGUUCACUUUUUCAACAUACAAGACCUCGUAUUUGUAAACCUGCAAGGUACGUAGAAAAUACUGUAAGGACACUUGGGGUGAGGGAGAUUGUUCAACCAGAGCAAAGAUGAUAAGAUGAAUAAAGGCCUACAUUGGUUUCUUUACUGUUGUAAUCCUGAAUAGCAUGGUUAGCCAGUUCCAUCAGCAAGUCAAUUUCUUUCUCAAAAUCCAGGUAUGGUAUAAGCAUAGCUGCCUUGGCUUUACCCGGAUAGAUGUCAAUGUCGAAACCCUGCCAAAUAAGCCAAUCAGUCAUGAAUUCAUACUCAAGCGAUAACAAGAAGGGGUCAUAAUUGAAGCCGAAAGUCAAAGAAGCUGAUAUUCAAUCAAGUAAAGAAGUUUAAUUUGUGGAGCUAACAUGCUGUUUUAGAAUUUGGUCUAUUUGCUAAAUAAAAUAAAGAGAACAGGGGCUAAUCAAAUCACUUGAACACUAUGGCUAAAAGUACCACCAAAACAGCCAUGAAUUCCUAAAUUUAUUUUAACACGUAACCAAGUAAGCCCCAUAAUCUUGUCUGCCACACUUAAGGCUCUAAACAAAAUUAAGGAGCUCAGACUGGGCAGAGCUUGGGAUAUUACAAAUUAGUUGUUAAGAAUGCUCAGACAAUAAGCAGGCUAAACAACUAAUUUUCUAAAAAUAUACUCCUAAUGUUAAGAACAGCCUUAGCCAACUAAAAGUAAAACUGGGAAAAACUUGGAAUUGUUGAAAGUGAUAACAAUUGUAAGCUCUAAUUAGAAAUUUGACCAGCUCUAAUUGAUGUGUGUGUAUACAUAUAAUGCAAGAUUAGAAUAAAAGAGUAGUGAAAGAAGACGAACAUCCGAAGCAAAAAUCUGAAGGAAGUAUUUCCUAUAAAUUCUGCGAAAUAUAACCCUGUGCUUCUCCGAAGCGCCUUCGGGGAUGAAAGCGUCGUCAUCCCAGACAACCUGACCAGACAAGAACCUGCGGGGCAGUUCCCUCCUCUGCCAGUCAAGUAGUUCUUCUGCAAAACAUGGCUCCUUAUCAGGUGAAAAUUGCCUCGAUUCACUAUCGGCCAUUUCUUCGGAACUAUCGACCAAACCCUAGUACCAACAAUUUCCCAUAUAUGCUAAAUAUAUAUACUAUAGGAGUGAGUAGUAUAGAAAAAUAGUGCCGGGGGCACACUUGUAAAUUAAUUAUUACAAUAUUUUCUUUGCCUUUCUCAUCCCUAUAAUAAUUUUCUUUAUGAGUUUAUAUAUCCAAACUGUCUUUUUAUUUCUCUUCAAUCUCCUACUUUACUUUACUUNNNNNNNNNNNNNNNNNNNNNNNNNNNNNNNNNNNNNNNNNNNNNNNNNNNNNNUAUAUAUAUAUAUAUAUAUAUAUAUAUAUAUUAAAAGCACAAAAAUCCUUAACGAAAUAUCGUUCGUCCUUUUUAUCCUUCAAAAAUCGAUUUCAUAUUGGACAAACUUGUAAUUUAAUUAUGUUCCUAAUAUUUAAAUUUUUAAAAUCACUUAGAAUUUUGAUUAUUAAAUAUUUACUUAUUUGUAUCAUGUAUGUAUUCCUAAAAUUGAGGCAUUUAAAAUAGAAUAAUUUUAAGUCCGUGUUAGAAUCGUGUAAGCUACAAUUAAGUAAUCAUUGUUAUUCACUUUUAGAAUUACAAAUAGCAUUUUCUCCCACCACCUAGAAUCGGUGUUGCUAUCCCUUGAAUCUAACUCCUUUUAUAAUUUUUAUCUUAUCCUUUCCCCAAAGUAUUAUAAGAUUGUCCCUUAAUUCGUUUAGUAUUUUUAAUUUUUAAUUCUAUUCUAUUUUUUGUUUAUAAUUUAACACUAUUGUCGUGCAUGAUGUAUAACACUAUGAAAUUUGAGUUAGUUUCAAUAAUAUCGAAUUUUAAAUAAUUUCCUACUACUCCUUGUUAGACAAUUUGACGUGGACCUGACAUUCCAAGCAAUAAGUUUUGGCUAAAAGUAAAUAAUAUGAAAGAAUUGUUCAACAUUUAUGAACUAUACACAUAUAGAUUUAGGAUUUCAUCUAAUAUUGUUUGAUUCAGUUUUCUCUAAUGCUAAAUUUAGAUAGUUCCCUCAUAUUAUCAUUUUAGCUGUAACAAUGUCUAGCAAUUAUUUAUAUAUUAUUUAAGGUAUAAUAUUGGUUCAAAAUUAGUGUCAUGUUUUUUCCCGAUAAAAUUAUUUUUGCUCUCCAACUUUUUAAUAUAACAAUCAAAGUUACCUUCCAAUUUUGAACAACAUAAUACAUUUGUCCUUACUAUCUCAAAACAAUUUUUAAAUUAAUAUUUUAAGCUCAGAUUAUUAUGAUCAAGCUUUAUUUUAAUUUUUUAAUAUCGUGAUUUUAAAAAAAAAUCUAUAUUAUUAAAUUACUUAAAUAAUGAAUUAAAUAUUAUUUCUAAGUAAGUAAGAAAGAAAAAAUAGUGAUCAAGCAAUUAUAAAUUAAUUUUUCUAAUUUUUAGGACUUUAAAAUCAACUAAAAAUUUCAUUUCAUAAUUGGAAUUAUGUAGGAACUUCUAAUAUUUAGGAAUACAAAAUCAAGAAAACAUUUACUUAUAUAAGCCAUUUUCUUAUUUAAAGUGCUAAAUAAAUUUCAAUUAUUUUUUUUUAUAAGAGGGAAACCCGAGGCCGCUACAUUUAGUGCGCACUAGGUAAACUUCCCCCUGUGUAAUAGUCUGCAAAUCACACAGGGGAGGUAAACCGCACUAGGCAAGCCAUGUGCGACAGGCUCAAUCCAUAAAACAUUAAGGGAGAUUCAAUCUCAGGUCAUCCGUAUAUAUGACAACCCUCCAAAUCAACUGGGCAACUCCGAAGGGUUAAGCUGUCUAAUAUACUUAUUUUCACUGCAUGCAGAUAAAGUUAAAAAAGGUACAGUUCAAUUAGGAUGUAACAAUUAUAAUCCAAUUAUUUUAGCUAAGGCACGUACAAAAAAUACAUUUAAAACUUAGUUUUGAUUAAAAAAAUAUGGAAGCAUUAUAUUGAGAUGAUAUGAAUUUAGACUUAGCAAUUAGGACUUACUUUUUUCUUUGACUAAUAGAAGGACUUAGAAUUUGAAGUAUACUCAAAUUCGUUUGUCCACUUUUAUUGUCUACAUAUUAAGAAAUAAAUCAAAUGACAAUCUUUUCAAAAUGUGAAAUUAUAUUAAACGGUAAAAAGAUUGAUCAAUAUUUUGGACAAAGAAAUAAGAAUAGAAAAAUAACGUAUAUAUAUAAUUAGAAGCAAAUAAAAGUACUUUAGAAAAGAACCAAGGUAAAAUAAGAUAACGAUCGAGCUAAAAAUUUAUAAAAUUAUUUAUAAUAAUCGAGUUCGGAUGCCUAUAUGAUUAUUUAGGCAUGAAUAGAAUAAGGUUAUAGUUUAGAAAUUCCAUUAAAAUGAGUAAAAUAUAGGUAAAAAGUUUCUCAAUUUUUUUAACACAAUUCGUGUAAUAAGUAACAUACCAUAUACAUGCAAUACACCUAAGCAAGUGCUCAGGCAAAGUUGAACGAUCUUUUUACCUUUCAAUCAACGCUGCUUUCAUGACUUUUUUUAUACAAUGAAGCAAGUAAGCGAACAAAUUGAGGGAAAAACCACUAGAGUAAAUCAAACUCCCAAAUAUUAUCAUUUUGGAACUUGUAAGUUUUUGUUAAUUCUUACGUUAUAAUAGAAACACAUCAUUUGAAAAUUAUUUAUGUUAUUUUUAAAAAUCUAUUUUCUUUAACACGAGGGACACGCGCAACGCUACACUAAGACUAAUUAUUAUAAAAGCGGGAAGUUCAAAAGUGAAAAGUUGAAUUAUCAAAUUACCUUUCUAUAUGACUUAUAAUUUAUUUAGAAAAUUUAAAAAAUACAACGCUACAAACAUCACUAUAUUAGUGCUUCAUACCCCUUCAUUAAUAGUCACAACCGUUCAAAUUACAAAGCUAAAAGUAAUAAAUCAUCACUUCCUUAAUCUAAUAAACAAAUAAAUCGUUACUAACCAAGGCUAAAGAAACAAAUCAUGACUUUUCAUUCUUUUGAUACUUUUCGAUAAAAGUUAAAUUACUGAAAUACUCUUCUUAAAAAUCUAAUAUUUAUUAAUAAAAAAUUAAUUUAAUUUUAAGUGCCCUUUCUAAAAGGUUAUGGCUUUUUAGUAUGUAACUAAAUAUCCAAAUUUGAACUCUGUUCAUUCGUUGCUUUAAUUAGUUGAAAAACAAAACGCUGCCUUUAAUAAAAAAAAUAAUGUGUGUAUAUAUAUUUUUUCUUCAAAAACUUCUAAAGGUUUCCGAUAUUUUGUUGACAUGCGGUGAGUGCACUGUAAGAAUUCCUUUUCAUUCGGAUGGUUUUUCGUUUCGAUAGUAAAUAAAUGACAAAUGAUAGUACUACGUCCAUGAAAAAUUUAUAAAUAGUAGUUACUAAUAAGUAGUAUGUCUUCUUUUAAUAGGUCCUUUCGUAGACACAUUUAUCAACAAUUGUUACAAAGAUCCAAAUAUUCAAAAAGAUCUUAGAAUAUAAUUCAAUAUUUAGUUUAAUUAUUUUAUUCUCAAAUAUUCAGUAUAUUAUGCUUGAAUUUUUAUUAGUAUCAACUUUUUAAUUGCAUUAUGAUUAAUAGAAUUAUGUAAGCAUAAUUCGAAUACAUAUUGAAUCAUGUUCACAAGAAUGAGUGUUGAUUAGACUAAGCAUUAAGAAAAGAGAUGCAUUGGGUUUAUAUAGAUUAUUAUUAUGUAUAUAAUUAGACCAUCUUGCACUAACAAGCUACGUCGCUAGCAGAUCAGAGGAGAAAAUGUGUUAAAAGCAACGUGGAUGAACUCUUUGGCUCUCAAAUCUUUUCAAUGGUGCAUCCAUAUAUUAAUGGUCAAAGAUAUGACUAUAAAGUGCAUAGCAAAAACAACUGCACCGAAGCAAUGGAUUACGAGGAAGAAAGUGAUAAAAUCAGGUUAUACUACCUUUACAUUACAAUUAUCAAUCAUCUAUGAGUUAUACAAUUUAAUGUUUAUAAACAUUAGGAUAAUGGUCAUGAUCUCAUAAUUAUUGUGUUUUACUUAUGCAUGAUAUGGUUUGGAAUAUUAUUUUUACACAUGAAUAAAACUUACAAUAAUACAUUAUAAUUAUCUUGGGAUAUAAAAAUAAUAUAUUUUAAGUACUUUAUACAUGGAUUGUAUAUAUAUCUAAAAAUUAUUAUAACAUUGAGACAGAGAUACUUUGAUUGGGCAUAAAAUGUUAAUGAUUUGGGCAUUCCAAUUGCUAACAAUAUGAUUUAGGUUGUCCAGGCACUUAAAAAAUUUAAAGUACGGGAUAUUAGGGUUAUGAUUAAAAUUCAAUAUUGAAGUUACUGGUUAAUAUUAUUUUGAAGAAGUAGAAGAAAAACAAGAUUCAUGAAAAUCUAAAAUAUAUUAUUUGUUUUGUACAUUUCUUCAUGGCACUAAAGUUUUCUCAAUUAUAGCUUAAAAUAGAGAGAUAGAGCUGUUGUGGGACACUCUGAAUGAGAUUUUCUAUACAUGUAACAAAGAGAGAGGCCACUUUCAAUGAAUUUAAUAGAAAAUCCUAAUAUUCUUGUUAAAACAUGAUAGAGUACAAGUCUCAUAUGCCUCCAUUACAGAACAACAAGAAUUUAGGUACAAUAUGAAAAAGAAUCUUUCAUUCCAAAGCUUUAAUGUUUGGUUAGCUACCUUUAGUUAUGUAUUAUACAAAUAUUCAACAUCUUCCUUCCAUUAUUUUGAUCCAAUAUAUUAAUUAUUAUAUAAUAAGUGGGCAAAUAUCAUAUAGUAUAUAAUAAUAAUUAUAAAUAUUAUUUAAUUAUGAUAAAAAUACUGAUAAAGAAGGUGUAUUUUCUAAGGGUUGCGAUGCUUCUAUUUGUAACCAAUUUUUAAAAUUUUCCUUUAACCGUUGGCUCCCUUUAAAAUCAAGAGAUACGUUUAUAUAAAAGCUUUUUCCUCUAUUAAGCCGAUAGUAAAAAAAGUCAUUCUUCUGAGCUAAUAUUCUGUCAAAUUCUUCUUCGUCAUUCCUUCUAACGUUGAAAAUAUAUUGACAUUUCCGUUUUCUUCAAUCUUAUAUUCCAACUUCUAAUUUCUGUUAAUUGGGUUGGGUUUUGUAUUAGAAGAAAUUUUAAAAUACAACUUUAAUUUUUGAGUUUGCACUGUUCUUGAGAGUAGAAUUUUUAUUUAACAAUUUACACCAUGUGGAAAAAUUUCAAUCCUAAAAAAUAGUAGCGCACAUCAUUUUGUAUUUUUUUUUAAAAACAAAAAUCUCUUGCAUCAUUUCACAUAUAUAUUCAAUAAUUUUUACAUUGAUGUUCGGUCAAAAAUGCAUAUAUUUGACUAUUAUUGCCUCACAUUCUAGUACUUUUAAUCGUCUUUUGAGUAUCAAUUAUAUUGUGUAAAUAAUAAUGCAGUUUUGGAGUUGGAGCGUAUUGGACCUCAUUCUAAACACUUUUCAACAUUGUGUUUGGUUGGUGACAUGGGAAUUAAUCCAUUCGAGCAUAUGGAGGAGUCAAUAGAUGAGGAACAAAGUGCUUAUAUCCUAAAAUUUGCCAUACCAAAGAGACAAAACGACAUCUCUCACUUAAAGGUCAAGAAGUGUAAGAUGCGAUAUUGUUUACUUGGUUCUUUUGUAUUUACACCACCGCCCUAGGAACGUGAUAGAAAAAUUGAUGCGAAAUUGGGGGCGCAAUUCAUAUCAUCAAAGUGGAAGGGAAAGUGGUGAAAGUGAUGGCACCGUGUCGCGACAUUAAAUCAAGCGCUUGUUGGGAGGCAAACCAAUUCUAUUUUUUUGUUGUUGUUUUUCUUCUUUUUUUUUUGUGUGUGUAAUCGGUGUAGUGUUAUUUUUGUGUUUUGUAGGAGUAGGGGCAUGGAGUCAAAGCCAAUAGGCAUGUGCAAAAGCGAGCAGAUGGUUGAAACUAAGUGUGAGGUACCCGCACAAAGAAUCAUACCUGGGUAAAGUGUGAGCAUCUCGUGAGCUGCUAAUACUUCGGCCUUUGGCCUACCAGGGAGUCACUUUUACCUCUUGUUAUUUUCAGUGUGCAUUGAGGAUAUUGCACAAUUUUAAGUAUGGGUGAGAAAAUUGUCUGGGUGAUUUUCUGUGUUAUCCUAACUUAGUUGUAAAAACAAUUUUCUCUUAAUGUAGUAGUUUGUGUUUUUUUUUUUAAACAUAUAAAAACGAAAAAUAAAAAAAUUAAAAAGCAGAAAUUUUGGACUUUUAUCAACGAUGGAUUUUGUGGACAACUUUCUUGAGGGAUUAAAGUCCAAUAAUUUAAAAAAAAUCCAAAUAGAUUUUCUUUUUGUUUCUAGUUAAUUUUGGGUAGGUAAUAAUCCCCUUUGAUUUUUCUUUUUGCAUCGGUUCUUUUCCAAUAGAUGUAACUUGAACCGGGUAAACUUUUUUAUUUUUAGGAUUAGAUAUUUUUUAGGAGAAGAAAAAAAGGGAGACGACAAAAACUUUUAUUACCUGUUUGAUACUAGCAUAUUUUGGCCCGAGCUUGAGUAGUACUUUCCUCUAAGUGCUUGAGUAAUGAAUAAAAUAACAGACUUUCCGACACCUUUGCUCAGGGUUGUGACUCUGUAUAUAACUUAUUCUUAUUUUAUCGUUCGCUAUGAUCAUGUCUGUCUUAGAGUACAAUUGAUCCAUCUUGAUUGAUACUAGUGCCAUGUGUGGUGAAAAUUUCUUACAUAUAUUCCAUGUAAUGCAUCUUAGUCUAGAACUUGUCAUGCACGUUAUUGAAGUAAAAUAAAAGUGUUGCUCUAUUUAGAAGAUGAUAAUAGGCUUUCUUUGAUAUAUCUUAUGAAUUUUAGCCUCUUUAGAUAUCGUACCACUAGUUAGCCCGUUGAGCCUGUAACCUUUUGUUUGGAAGCCGUAUUUUUGUCUUGAUCCUUUUGUUGAAUCCCUAGUUUUUGCACCCUGCUUCCUUGAGCAUGGUUGCAUAAACUAUGAUAUAAAUUGAUAAAUUUGAAGAAAGGGAUGGUUAAGUGAAAAAAGGUGACCAACGAUAGCUGAAAAGUGAUGAAAAGACCCUCUUGACAAGAAUGUGACAUGAAAAAAAAACAAGAGAAUGAAAAAAAAAAAUUGCUUUGAAAAAAAAAAUUAAACGUUCUUGAUAUGGGGGAAAUACCUGUGAAACAAUCGAUGAAGAGAGGGCUGAAAAAUAAAAUUAAGAGAUGAAAAUAAUGGGUGAUUAAGUCUAAAAGUGCAAAGUGUUUAGAGAAGAAGUCAUUAUUAUAUAGUUCUCCUACUCGUCCCCUAGCCAACAUUACAACCACUCAAAGUCCUAUUUGAUUCUAUUCGAGCAUACUUAAUUAGUAGAGAUGUACAUAAUGGGCAAGCCUAUUGUUCUUUGUGCAUACAUGUGAAUUAUUUGUGAGUGCGAGAGUUAUUCUUUGAUGCUAAGUCCUUAAAUUAUAUUCAUUCUUUGAUUUGAGUGUAUGAGCUAUUUAUUCUUGUGAGGGCACUCGUUUCAUGAUAUAUAAGUGAUGUUAUUAGCUUUAUUUGAAAGAGUAGGUGAGCGAGCUUAAAUUUGGUGAGUUAUAGUCCCUCUAUGAGGUUACGAGGUUAGAAGUUUGUUGUUUGUUUGUGACUUGUAUAUCUUGCACGAUGAUUAUGAAGUGUAUCUCUAAUGGUUUGAGUUGUUAUAGGGCCUAAUGGUUAGUAUCAACCGAAGUGGUGGUAUUUCUAUGCUUGAUUUAUUGAGAGUGGUUUUAAUGCUUACUUGAGGAUGAGCAAGAGUCUAAGCGUGAGAUGUUGAUAUUCGGCCAAAAAUGCAUAUAUUUAACCAUUAUUUCCUCACAUUCUAGUACUUUUAAUCGUCUUUUGAGCAUCAAUUAUAUGUUUGUGCUUAAUAUUAUGUUUUAAUUGUGUAGGAAUAAAGCAGUGUGAAGAUGAAGAGAUUUGGAGCAAAAUUAAAUUAAAAGCGGAAGGAAAAAAAAAAGAAAGAAAGAUAAAACAAUUUAAAAGGAUGAGAUGGGGGAGGGGGGGGGGGGAGGGGGACACUUGAGNNNNNNNNNNNNNNNNNNNNNNNNNGGGGACACCUUUGAGUUUUGUCCCUCCAAGUGGAAGACAAGAAAGGAAGAGAUGAAAAGCAAAGCAAAUAUUGAAAGGAAUUGGCGUGAAACAUUCUGCCUCCAGCGCCGCGGCUAGUCUGGACGUUGGGGGCGGGAACUUUUCCUAUUUCGUUUGGGACAAGGUUAUUUCGGCCCUAUACGGUCCCAACUCGUAUAAAAGGGGUUCUAAACCUAAUUUGAAGAAUAUCAAAUAUACUUUGAAGGAAAAUUCACUUAGGGGAACACACACCACGCUUGGAGGGGGCUUCUAACUAGUUUUUCUUCUCUUCCCUUCUUUUAAUCUUAUAGUUUAUUAGUUAUAGAGUUUUGGGUGCUGCAUGAACGUUGUAGUUUGAAGCUUGAAUUGUUCUUAUUAUUUUACCAUAUUGGUUUAUUUAUUCAAUCUUGCACUUAAUUAUUUGAUUGCUUGAUCACCAAUUGAAUACUAUCCACGAAUCUAGGAUUGAACUCGGGAGAUGAAAUUAUAGAUUGCAUAUAAGAUUGAAUAGAGCAAGAUCCUAACUCUGAGUGGGGGGCGAAUUUAAGGUUAGGAUAGGAAUAUACCUAAUCGCUUUGCUUGGUUACUACACAGGAAUUAUUAAUGCGUUCUUGUUAAUUCUAAUUCCAUGAGAAUAUAUGUGUUAGAUUAGCUUGAAUAUGUGAGUAGUACUUCGGGAGAAGGCUACGAGCAAUAUUAACCAAGUCAACCAAUAAACCAGAUAAAUUAAUUAGACGAUUUAGGUAAAAAACUCAACGGGAUUGUUAGCUAACCCAUAGCUCUAGAAUAUUUUCUCUCAUUGAAUUCAUCUCUAAGAUUGCAGACUUGUUUCCUUUAAUUUCAUAGUUUACUAUUCUAGAUUAAUUUUAGUUAAAUAUUUAUACUUUAGAAGAUCGCUUGAGUAGAUUAAUUGUCUUAGUUUAAUUUAGUUGAUAGUUAAUCACAAGUCCCCGAGAGUACGAUAUUUGUACUUACAAUCCUAUAUGUGAUGACCUAAAAUAUCAUCUUUAAAUUUAAUAAGUAAUAUUGUGUUCUAAGACCUCAAAAAAUACCAUGUAUCAUUCCUCGACUUGCGUACGCAGCCCGUACAAUUUUCUGAAAAGUUUUUGUGUGAAAAAUAGAUUAAAAUGUGAAAUAGAGCUUUAAAAACUCAAUUGAGUUGACUUUAGUCAAUAUUUUGAGCAAACAGACUCGGAUUAGUAUUUUGACAAUUCUGAUAGGUCCGUAUUGUGAUUUGGGACUUGGGCGUAUGCCCGAAAUCGAAUUCCGAGGUCCCUAGCCCGAGAUAUGGAAUUUUGAUAAAAUAUUAAAAGCUUGAAAGCUUAAUGACUUUUAAGAAAUUACUGAUGUUGGAUUUAUUGACCUCGGGUUCGUAUUUUGGUUCUAGAGCGCGGUAUAGGGCCACUAUAAUAUUUAUGAUCUGUGUGCCGAAUUUGGUGAGAAUCAGAGUUGAUUUGACAUGAGUCGGACAUCCGGUUGUAAAAAUAUAAGUUUUAAAGUUUUCUUGGAAAUUUUCUUUGAUUUGGUGUCCGAUUCGUAGUUCUAGGUGUUAGGCGAUUUGAUUGCGCGAGCAAGUUCGUAUGAUAUUUUUAGACUUGUGUGCAUGUUUGAUUUGGAGCCCUGAGGGCUCGGGUGAGUUUCGGAUAGGCCACAAGAUGUUUUGAACUUAGAAAAACUGUUUUUUCUGCAACUUUAGGCUUCUGGUAUUUCCUUCAUCGCGUUCGCGAAUGUACUCUCGCGAACGCAAAGAGCAAACUGGGCUGGUUGAAUUUUCCUUCUCCGCGAACGUGAAGGUUGGGCCGCGAACGCGAAGCUAUGGGGACUUUACCCUUCGCGAAUGCGACCAGCUCAACGCGAACGCGAAGCUUUAGAGGUCCAGGGGAGGGGUCAGUUGCCCUUCUACGCGAACGCGAGCACUGACACGCGAACACGAAGGCCAAGGGGAAAAAGCCUUCGCGAACGCGAAGGAGGACUCGCGAACGCGAAAGCCACGGACUGCUACUCAUCGCGAAUGCGACAGGACCUUCGCGAACGCGAAGAAGGCCUGACGCCUGUGACUUAAAACAGAACCAAAACGGGAUUUUUUCCAUUUUUCACAAAACCUCAAUUAGAACUCGGCUUAGGGGCGAUUUAAAGGAGUUUUUCACGAUUUCGAAUUGGGUAAGUGUUCUUUAUCAUAUAGUGAUUAUAUUUGAUAAAUCUAAGUCUAUAUUCAUCAUUUAUUUCAGAUUUAGAUGGAAGAAAUUGGAAUUUUUAUAAAAUCUUCCAAAAACGAAAAGUUAAGAUUUGAAGGUCCAUUUGAUAUCGCAAUUGGACAAUUUUUGUAUGGUUGAAUUCGUAUCGGAACGGGUAUUCGAAUUUUGCGAGUUUUUCCGGGAUUUGAAACGUAGGGUCCCAAUGUCGAAUAUUUUAAUGAAUUUUGGCUUUUUAUCCAAAAAAUUAGUAAAUUCAUAUGGAAUUAAUUCCUAUUAUUCGUAUUGAAUAUAUCAAAUUGUUUGUGAAUAGAUUUGAAACUUUUGGAGACAAAUUUAAAAGGAAAAGCUGUGGUUGAGUAAUUGAUUGAAAUUUACAAAGCGAUGUAAGUGUCGUGGUUAACCUUGACUUGAGGGAAUAGAACCCUUAAAUUAUUUGUUAUGUGAAUAGAAUGUGAAUGACGUAUAGGCAAGGUGACGAGUGUCUAUACGUCGUCAAAUUAAUUAUUUGCCUGUUUACUUGAAAAAUCAUAAAUUAUUUUUAAAAUCAUAAAUUAAUUAUUACAAUAAUUGUUUCUCUCCUAUUCUUUGUCAAAUAUUAAUUCUUAAAUUCCUACAUUAAUUGUUACAUGCUAUUUGAAUUAUGUGCCUUAAUUGUUAUUUGACAUUUAGCAUAUUAAUUAUUAAAUUGUAUAUUUUCUUUCAGAUUUCCAUAAUAAUUUGCUAUUUGUCUUUGUUUGUUUCAUAAUUAAACCAUAAUUAUUGUACGCUUGUUAUCUUAUAAUUUUAUAUUAAUUGAUACAUUUAUUGGGGAAAUUCUUUCUAUAAGAAUUGGUAAAUGAAUAUGUUAGAGGAGCGGGUUGCACGCCGCAACAAAAUUGAUUAUAAUGAAUAUAUUGGAGGAUCCGGUUGCACACCGCAACAGACUUAUUAAAAGUCUAUAUUGGAGGAUCAGGUUGCACGCCGCAACAGACUUAUUAAAAGUCUAUAUUAGAGGAUCGGGGUUGCACGUCGCAACAGACUUAUUAAAAGUCUAUAUUGGAGGAUCGGGUUGCACGUCGCAACAGACUUAUUAAAAGUCCAUAUUGGAGGAUCGGGUUGCACACCGCAACAAACUUAUUUAAAAGGCAACAUACAUAUAUAUAUUGGGGGAUCGAGUUGCACGCCGCAACAGACUUGAUUAAAAAUGAAUAUAUUGUGAGAGCGGGUUGCACGCUGCAACAGAAUUGAUGGAAAUGACAACUGGUUAUGACUGCUGAGUUGGCUUCAAUUAUUAUAAAUGAAUUACCUGAUUUAUUUCUAUUAUUAUUUUUGUUACUAAUAUUGCGUACAGGUAAUGUAAGUGACCCACCUUAGCCUCGUCACUACUUCGUCGAGGUUGGGCUCAGCACUUACCAGCACAUGGGGUCGGUUGUACUGAUACUACACUUUGCACUUCUUGUGCAGAUUUUGGAGUUGGUCCCGACGGCGUACCAUAGACUUACUCGGAUUUCAGCUACUCAGAGGAGACUUGAGGUAUAGCUNNNNNNNNNNNNNNNNNNNNNNNNNGUGCACUUGUGACAUCAAUUCUGGGAUGGUAUUUAGACACCAUUAUUUUUAUGGAUUAUUCACUAUAUUUUAAACUUUGCUUCCGCAUUUGUUUAUUUGAUUAUUAAUAAAUUAAAGAUUGUUUAAAAAUUGGUUUAAAAAUGGAUAAUAUUAUUCUAACGUUGGCUUGCCUAGCAAGUGAAAUGUUAGGCGCCAUCACGGUUCGAAGGUGGUAAUUUCAGAUCGUGACAAUAUAUUACUUGUCGACUACGUAUACUUGCAUGUGUGUUUAGGAGUAACAGACCUCGACAAACAAGUCAACAUAACAUGAUUCAUAUUGAUUAUUUAUAUAACCUUGUACUUUAUUCUUUCAUGUCUAAUCGUUUACUUAAAGCUUUAUCUUAAUAAUUUUGAUAUUAUUUUAUAAAAUUAUAUAAUACAUACAUGUGUAAGGAGAAACUAGUAUAUAUUAGGGGUGUACGGUGGUUUGCUCCGGAUUUUCUAAUUACCACUUACGUGUUUAUAUUACAUGGCUUUUACUCCUAUUUUUAUCGUUCUAUAGAGUUCUUUCAUCUGCUUUCCUUCAAUAAGCCCUUUGUCUUCCAUGUUUUUUUUCUUCAAUCCGAUCAGAGAGUCCCAAAAGUACCAUCGCGAUCUUCUUCUGCGUCUUCCUCUUCGAUUCUAUUUUGAAAUUAUUUCUUUUGUGAUUGUUAUUUUCGUCCUCUUUGUUCUAUUUUUCCUUUUCCCCUUUUAUUUUAUGUGUUAAUGCUUGAUUUGAUUUGUUCUGCAUAUUUUGUUGUUGUAUCUAUGUAUUUGAUUGUAAAAUCGAGUUUUGCAUUUUUUGGUAUCUUCAAAACCUAGCAAAGCAGAGAGGGCGGUAAGAUAAUCGCUUGGGUUAUCAUGGAAUCAUUCAAAUAGAGAUUCCAACAUGAUAUACUAAUUUUAUUUUCCUGCUCGUGGUCUCAGUUGGUUUAUCAGCUUUCUGUUACUGUGCCUAAUUUCUUUUAUAAUUCAAUUCAAAGAGUUAACUGUAAUUCACUUUACAAUUUAUGGUAAAAUGUAAUUUAUGAUGAUGUUGCUGAAUUAGCACAAAAGAUAAGUUCUCUCCCAUAAUUACGGUGUUACAAUUAAUGCCCCGAAGUAUUAUCGCACAGUAAAACUUGGAAUCUUCUCUUCUUACUAUCCCCCUAUGCAUUCUUUUUAUUGUGCUUCAGAAUUUUAUUUCUGAUAACUUGGGUUGAAAGAGGGAGACUGGAAUUCGAUAUCAUACUGAAUUCUCAGAUGUUUGCUCCGCUAUUGUUGUAUUGGAUUCUCAGGUUGAAUUUCCUAUCUUUCUUUACUUAGGAACGUGCAUAAAACUGUAAAACAUUGAUUAUGAAAUCACAUGUUUAUUCACCUUGUCCUUUUCUUUUCUUUACUCAACUUUGAUUCUCACUCAAAACUUUGAAUAUUUUCCCUCUUAUUUUGUUAAUAUUUUGGUUGUAUUGUCGCGUCCACUCAGCUUUUGAUUACAGAUUUAUGGUUCCUUUAAUUGUCCAGUAAUUCUCAUGAAUCAUAGUUUGAAAUUUUGUGACACCUAUAAGAUUUCAAAUACAGAUAUCUAUUUUUCAACUCAGUAUGGAACUACUAUGAGUUAUAAUUUGAAAUUCAAUAAUAGCUGUAUUAAUAAUGUGAUCUUGGUUUUGUUUGGGGGAGAUAAGAUCUGUAACCACACUGUACUUUUAUUGUCAUUGAAGUGUCCAAAAGUAUAUAUGAAAAACAUGUUUGAUAAUGUAGCUUUCUGUGCAGAGAGUGUGACUGCUCUUAAGUUGAACAUUAGAAAAGUAUCAAGCUGCAUAUGCAAGAUCCUAAGUAUCCAAUUAUUGCCAACUACAAAAUUCCUUGGAGGAUGAUCGUCUCUUCAUGUGCUUGAUGGGGAUGUAAAUCCAUGAUAUCUAAUUCAUCUGCUCUUCAUGUGUAUCCCUCCAACAAAAAAAUACUAUUAGAAUAUGCCCAUGCCAUCAUUCUACUUACAGCUCUCAAAUAUGGCUAAGUUCACUUUUUUCAUUCUAUAUCAUUUCAUUAUUAUAAUUUAUCUAACUCAUACUAAGUUGUUAUUCUUUGAAUUAUUUUAUGAAAAUAACAACUCCUACCCUCGAAUUUGUUUGUGCAGGUUUUGCUUCCAUUAGAAACAUACCAGGUAACAUUUAGACGCUAAGCUCACUUCAACCUUGUAUAAGUGUGUAUAACACAAGUUAUGAACACUAACACUAAAAAAUACCUUAUAUCCAGCAUUGCCUUCAUUUCAACACCAAAAUCUCCAACACACACACAAAAAAAGAAUAAAAUAUCAGAACUAGCAUCGAAUCUGGUCGAAUCUUUUCUCCGGUGAUGUCUCUCUCCUUCCUUGCAGAUCCAAUUGGAUCGGCCGGAUCUAGAGUCAGAUUUAAAGUCAAACUCAAGGAUUUUAGAAGAAAAAGAACAUCUAUUAUGAGCACGUAAUUUUUGCCCCUGCACAAAACUACUCCUAAAAUGCCAAAUACAUAGCUUUUAAAUUAUUUUGUUUGAUUUUAUAUAUCUUUGUUUGCAUUUCAUGGAAUUUGGUUGUAUUUGCUUAAUUCGAAAUAGUGUUAAAUCAUAAUAUUGUCAAAAAAUGUCAUUUUAUUCAUUGCAUUUUUAGAUUUUAAUUGCAUUUUUUAGGAUUUAAUUACAUUAUUAAACGCAUGAUUAAAAUACAUAAAAUCACAAAUAAACGUUAGUCAUCUUCGCUUUUGUUUUUGAAUUUUAGGUUCAAUUAAAUUAGUUAAUUAGCCAAUCAUUAGAUAAAAUAGAUAACUAGAUUAGUUAUGCAAAAUUAGGUCUAAAUUAGAAUUUCAAAUAGCUGGUUUUGAAAAAUCUGAUAAGAGAAGCUUCACAUUCGAACGUAAAAAUUGCAUGGGGCGCCAUAUUUGGUCGCCCCUUUUUAACUUAUACCCGUUUUGUUUUUCCGUUUGCAUCCAUACCUAUUUUUUGUUAAAAGUAUUUUAAAAAGACGAUUUUGCCCUUCUUUAAUAAAAGACUAUUGACAAAUUGCAGGAAAAAAACGUAAGCAUGUUUAGGCUGAUGUUUUAGAAAAUAAACUAAAAAACUUCAGCUUGUUUAGACUGAAAUUUCAGAUAAAACUCAAGACAAAACUGUAGACUGAGUUACAAAACUUCAGCAUGUUUUGGUAUGAAGUUUUAACAAAUAAAACUAAAUAAUUUCAGCAUGCAUUAGCAAAAACUCUUUAGAAAAUUACAUACUGCAAGACAGAAACUUAAGCAUGUUUAGUCUGAAAUUUUAGCAAAUGAACUAAAAAACUUUAGCAUGUUUAGUCUAGAGUUUUAGCAAAUGAACUAAAUAACUUAAGCAUGUUUAGUCUGAAAUUUUAGCAAAUGAACUAAAUAACUUCAACAUGCAUUAGCAAAAACUCAUUAGAAAAUCACAUACUACAAGACAUAAACUUAAGCAUGUUUAGUGUGAAGUUUUAGCAAAUGAACUAAAUAACUUAAGCAUGUUUAGUCUGAAAUUUUAGCAAAUGAACUAAAUAACUUAAGCAUGUUUAGUCUGAAAUUUUAGCAAAUGAACUAAAUAACUUAAGCAUGUUUAGUCUGCAGUUUUAGCAAAUGAACUAAAUAACUUAAGCAUGUUUAGUCUGAAAUUUUAGCAAAUGAACUAAAUAACUUCAACAUGUUUAGAGUGAAGUUUCAGAUAAAAUUAAUGGCAAAACUAUAGACUGCAGAAUAAAUAACUUCAGCAUGCAUUAGCAUGAAGUUUUAGCUUCAAUGUGAAACAACUUCAUGCUAUAUUAGCAUGAAGUUUUAGCUUCAACAUGAAACAACUUCAUGCUAUAUUAGCAUGAAGUUUUAGCUUCAAGGUGAAACAACUUCAUGCAAGUGUGAUUCUGAAGAUGAAUCUAGACAAGUUUUUAAUUUUUUUAUAAAGUUGCUGAGAGGAGAGGAGAAGAUCGUUUUAUAUCUUUUGUCAGGGGUAUAAUUGUCAUAUUAUUACAGAUUUUUUGUGAGAUGGCUACCAAAUCAAUAAUUUUAAAAAAUAGGGUUACAAGUUAAAAGGUGGCACAAAUAUAGGGUACGACUGCAAAUCCCCCAUUCGAACUGGGCCAAGCAAAUCGGACGGCCCAGUUACCUUAAUUCGGUUCAUGCCCGUCCAAGCCCACACAUUCAUCCGGUCCAAAUAUCCCCCAUAUGCCAAACGACACAAGGAUCAAGCUUAAUCUCGGUCGUCCGUUGUUGUUUGAUCCAACGGGAGAUAACUGGCCAUUCGUUCUCUUGAAAGUGUCGGAACAGCCCUUACCCCUACCCAAGUCCUCUCUCUCAUACCUUAUUUCCUCUCCACCCUUCCCCGCCGCGUACCGUCCGUCGGAAAUCGUGGUAGCGGCGGGCCACCUCCAAACCACCCCAAACCGUACAAUCCCCAGCCCCUCCUCGGUCCAAAUCCACCACCAGUUUCCCUCAAAUCCGUCUCAAACAAUUCGUUUAGUAGAUGUAAGAAAUCACAAACCUGAAUUCAUCCCCUUUUCCAUUUUUCCUCACAUCUCGGACUAUUUGGGGUUAAUACCAACAUCAAUAGACUACUCUCAAUGAGAGCUAUCGAUUGAUGGUAAGUUUAUCUUGUUUCAUGACCAUCGGAAUCUAGUCAAACUCUGGUUGACCGGCCAGUUCCCACCCAUAUCGCCAUGGUGUCAUUUUCUCAGGCUUAGCAAGGGAUAUUAUUGCAUGUAGCACUGGCCGGUGUAAAGCAACUAUGGUUAGUGCUUGUGUAACAAUUCCUCCAUGUUGCUGGAAUUCUUUUAUCGAUCCAUUUUGAGUUCCAGCAUGUAUAUUCUGUUCCUUUUUCUUUUACUUCUUCUAUGUUUUUCCCUCAUUCCCUUUCUUCUUUCUACUUGUUUGUCUCCAGUCAUCUCUGCUUAAUUUAGCAGGAGCAAAUAAUUGAUCAUUUGAUUCAUAUCUGUUUUGAGUGUGAUUAACUGUUAGCUAUUGAAUUUUCGAUUGUUGUUUAAGUAGUCACAUGAUUAGGUAUCACUGAAAUAAUAUUUAAUUGCUUUAAUUCCUUGUUAAAUCGACAAUUUCUUUUGUUUUAGUGUUUGUAUAACAAUAUUAUUCUUGAGGAUCAAUUAGUGAGUCACGAGCUUUCUAGGAUUUGAUUAGCCUACUUUGGACUUAGGAGUGUAGUUUGUUUUAAGAAUGAAGCCAGGUUCAGGCUCACAUGAUUUCUAUAGAGUUGAAAGGUAAAAAGAGAAGUGAAAGAAGGUCUGUAGUUUUGAGAGUAGAAAGUAACGGAGGUAAAAAAGGUAUUAAGGGGAUUAGACUUAGAGAAUCUUUAUAACUAACCACUAGGAAGCUUCUAGGAAAGAAAAACCAGCAGGGGUCUGCUGAGGAGGGACUUGAAGAGUAAAAACAGAAAAGAAAAAAGGAUUAAAAAGAAUAGAAAUUUUUUGAAGAGCAGCUUUGAAAAUCAGCUUAAAUAGAUGACCAUCCUCGCACUAUAGGCAUUCAUACUCAUUCACAAUCUGGAGAUUCACUCACACACAUUCACCUAGCUGAAACAACUUUCAAAAGUUCAAAAAAGGGCUCAAAAACCAGAUAUGAAAAGCCAAAAAAGGGCUAAAAACAGAAGAUAAUUAGCUUUCAAAAGAGAUUUCUCAAGUUGUUUCCACUGCUGUUGUUUGUUCUAUACUUUCUGGUUUUAGAAAACAAUUCAGACUCAAAUCACUGUCCAAUUAUGCUGUUUAUUGCUGGAUCUGUGUUGCAGAGCUUCAACUACCUGAUCUCCUUACCUUUAUUUGGUUUUUCUCAGCUGUAAUUCAUCACAUUAGGUAUUCCUUUAAUCUGUGCUAUAUACAUAAUGUUCAUAGAAUUUUGAAUGCUUUGUUUGAUUGUAAUGAUGUGUUUAAUUCCAAUAUGAAAUUUAAUUAAUCCUUUAGUGCACGAGUCUAACUAUUUCGGUAUGAUUUUAAUAUACGUCAUGAAAAACAUUGAGUGUUCAAUAUGAUUCAGAAUUUGUUAACAUGCAUAAUCUAUGUGUGAAAUUAUGUAAUCAACUUAUAAUAUGGAGGUUGUUUGUGACUUAUAAUGGGUUAAUCUGAUAUGUCAGGUGGUUGGCAAUAAUAGCCCCCUGGCUAUUUGUUGCAAAACCAUGAGCAAGCCUGAAGAAACGAGUGGCCAGUGGACAGAAAUGCUCCAUGUGAACUAUCCAUAUGUAAUUCAGCUAUGAUAAACAAUUUCAUGUAGUUCAUGUAUUGUAUUUUAAAAUUAAAGGAUUAUAGAGUUAUGGUUUGGAAUCUAGUACGAUUAUUGGCUAAUUUAGUUUAACCUAAUACACAAUGGGUCAUACUUGCAUUAAUGGCCCAAUAAGGGGUUAAUUAGGUAAGUCUGAUCUUCGGAGGAUAUUGGGCCUUGAAGUUAGCCCAUUUGAACAGGCCUGAACUAAGAAUGUAAUUUUCGUCAUUUGCUAUGUUCGUUAGAUCGUGUAAUUCCUUGUAGUGUUUCUUGUUCCCUAUCAAAUCGUCUUAUUUGACUACUGAAAAAUGAAUGUGUUGAUUGAUAAUUUAAGAGCCCGUUUGGACAUAAAAAAAAAUUCUUUCUUUUUUUCCAAAA
rnacentral:lncRNA from 1 species